GGAUACACACCUACCUACCGAGAGACCUCCAAACAGAGACAUCAACACAGAAACCUCCGCAGAGAUAACCAGAUCUCCAUAUGCAAACCCAUGUAAAAAGAAACCUAGAGAAACAGAUGCCCAGAUGAAGAGGGGUUUCCAGACAGAUUCUUGGCUGACGUUUCUGUCAGUGGUGUGAAAGGACAUUUACCCAGAUUCUAUAGAUAUUUUGGUUAUGCACUCAACAAACCUACAAUGAAACUACCAGAAUACAAAAGCAAUUGUGAACUCCAGAGAGUGCUAGAAAACAUUAUGGAAGAGGGUAUAGUUUAUGUUAAUUAUAGAGGACUAAAGAGAUGUAGAAUAGGAGAGCUGAAAAAGCCUCCACUUCCAGUGGCUCUUAGAGUGUAAUUAGUCCAAGGGACAGCAAGCUGCCUUCUAGCAGAAUCGUUGUGAUCCCAAAGCCCACAUGACUGGGGCCUCUCUCUGGUCCUUUAUACAGUAAUUAAUAUUUAAAAGAUCUCGCUAAAGCCCUGUCAAGUCCUGAAGCAAGAUUUUGAAAAAUAAAAAAACUCAUAAAACACAAAAUAGAAC
rnacentral:lncRNA from 1 species